UACAGAGGGGGCAAGCGUUGUUCGGAAUUACUGGGCGUAAAGGGCGCGUAGGCGGCCUGCUAAGUCGAACGUGAAAUCCCUGGGCUCAACCCAGGAACUGCGUCCGAUACUGGUUGGCUUGAAUCCGGGAGAGGGACGCGGAAUUCCAGGUGUAGCGGUGAAAUGCGUAGAUAUCUGGAGGAACACCGGUGGCGAAGGCGGCAUCCUGGACCGAUACUGACGCUGAGGAGCGAAAGCCAGGGGAGCAAACGGG
rnacentral:rRNA from 1 species